UUAAGUCCGUACGAGCGCAACCCUUGCCUUAGUUACCAGCACGUUAUGGUGGGCACUCUAAGGAGACUGCCGGUGACAACCGGAGGAAGGUGGGGAUGACGUCAAGUCAUCAUGGCCCUUACGGCCUGGGCUACACACGUGCUACAAUGGUCGGUACAAAGGGUUGCCAAGCCGCGAGGUGGAGCUAAUCCCAUAAAACCGAUCGUAGUCCGGAUCGCAGUCUGCAACUCGACUGCGUGAAGUCGGAAUCGCUAGUAAUCGUGAAUCAGAAUGUCACGGUGAAUACGUUCCCGGGCCUU
rnacentral:rRNA from 1 species